UCAGGGGGCNAGACGAUCGCUGCCAAACAUACUUUGGUGGAGGAAAGUCCGAACUCCACCGGACAGGGCGCCGGCUAACAGCCGGGCGGCGCAAGCCGACGGAAAGUGUCACAGAAAUAUACCGCCGUUUAACGGUAAGGGUGAAAUGGUGCGGUAAGANCGCACCGGCNUAUUGGUAACAUUGCGGCCAGACAAACCCCGCUCGGAGCAAGGCCAAAUAGGAGGUUUCGNGUGUCCGGCUCUAGCCUCGGGUAGGCCGCAUGAGGUGNCAAGUAAUUGUCACCCCAGAUGGAUGAUCGUCCGUUCUCGGUAGUAGGCUCACCGAGUAGACAGAAUUCGGCUUAUCGGCCCCCUGACCGC
rnacentral:RNase_P_RNA from 1 species